GUGGCUUCCGGAGCUAACGCGUUAAGUCGUCCGCCUGGGGAGUACGGCCGCAAGGUUAAAACUCAAAUGAAUUGACGGGGGCCCGCACAAGCGGUGGAGCAUGUGGUUUAAUUUGAUGCAACGCGAAGAACCUUACCUGGUCUUGACAUCCACGGAAGUUUUCAGAGAUGAGAAUGUGCCUUCGGGAACCGUGAGACAGGUGCUGCAUGGCUGUCGUCAGCUCGUGUUGUGAAAUGUUGGGUUAAGUCCCGCAACGAGCGCAACCCUUAUCCUUUGUUGCCAGCGGUCCGGCCGGGAACUCAAAGGAGACUGCCAGUGAUAAACUGGAGGAAGGUGGGGAUGACGUCAAGUCAUCAUGGCCCUUACGACCAGGGCUACACACGUGCUACAAUGGCGCAUACAAAGAGAAGCGACCUCGCGAGAGCAAGCGGCCCUCAUAAAGUGCGUCGUAGUCCGGAUUGGAGUCUGCAACUCGACUCCAUGAAGUCGGAAUCGCUAGUAAUCGUGGAUCAGAAUGCCACGGUGAAUACGUUCCCGGGCCUUGUACACACCGCCCGUCACACCAUGGGAGUGGGUUGCAAAAGAAGUAAAAAAGCUUAACCUUCGGGAGUGCGCUUACCA
rnacentral:rRNA from 1 species